UCUGGCUGCAGUAUAGGUCAUAAACCCCGCCUCCUCCAUGUUAGCAGAUGGGACUGGGGUCAGACUAAAAUAAAUAAAUUCUUCCCAGAUAAUUUUUUUCCAAAGAUGCUUUCUUUCAUUAUCAGUAGUUCUCAUCACGCUGAUUUAUGUUCAAAGGGUCUCCUUUCUCAUACGUUUGAUUCUAAUUACUACCACAAUGCUGUUAAAUUGGAGUGCAACGUCAUCAUAACAGCUUUGACUGGCAGCUGCAGUCACGGAGAAACUUAGGCAUCUCUGUUCGCAGACUCUGGCUCCAAAAGCGCAACAAGUCAGCUCCCACAAGCAGGAUAUUUGGGCUUCAUUUCUGUACAAUGGGAGGAAGUGCUGUGGCGUCAUCCAUGUUUGGAGUCUAAAGUUAGUGUGUUUUGUAGUCAAAAGUUUUGUUGUGUGUCGGAACCAAUGACAUUGGUCAGAACAAUGAGGCAAUUACUGAAUGUCACGGUAGCUGUCAAAAACACUCUUGUGUUGCAGUGUGCCCUGAAGUCACCAUCAGAAACAGCAUUGUUAAAGAGCACACCAUCAGCAUUGCCUUCCGAAUGCUGCAGGAUACACCCAGGGAGCCUUUUGCUCUCUGGCAGCUCACGGAGAAUGACCUCCAGCCAAAGAUGGGAGUGGUGAUUGACCCCACCACCAAGCACCUGUUACUACAUAGGUGAAGUGCAGGAGCUGACCUUUGACCAGCCGCAGGUCCACACGCUGUUCUAUGGCAGUUUUCACAAGAGCACAUGGACAGCAUACUCACCUGGUUCUGUGGGCCCGCAGCGCAUGUCACACCAUCCAUCACCCUUGUCAUCACAUUCAAUCUUGGUCUGAGAGAAACCUGAAGAGAAA